UACGUAGGGGGCAAGCGUUGUCCGGAAUCACUGGGCGUAAAGGGCGCGUAGGCGGCGCGGCAAGUCCAUGGUGAAAGCUCGUGGCUCAACUGCGAGUCGGCCAAGGAUACUGCUGUGCUUGAGCACUGUAGAGGCAGGUGGAAUUCCGGGUGUAGCGGUGGAAUGCGUAGAGAUCCGGAAGAACACCGGUGGCGAAGGCGGCCUGCUGGGCAGUAGCUGACGCUGAGGCGCGACAGCGUGGGGAGCAAACAGG
rnacentral:rRNA from 1 species